rnacentral:rRNA from 1 species
AGUGAACGCUGGCGGUAGGCCUAACACAUGCAAGUCGAACGGCAGCACAGUAAGAGCUUGCUCUUACGGGUGGCGAGUGGCGGACGGGUGAGGAAUACAUCGGAAUCUACUUUUUCGGGGGGGAUAACGUAGGGAAACUUACGCUAAUACCGCAUACGACCUACGGGUGAAAGCAGGGGAUCUUCGGACCUUUCGCGAUUGAAUGAGCCGAUGUCGGAUUAGCUAGUUGGCGGGGUAAAGGCCCACCAAGGCGACGAUCCGUAGCUGGUCUGAGAGGAUGAUCAGCCACACUGGAACUGAGACACGGUCCAGACUCCUACGGGAGGCAGCAGUGGGGAAUAUUGGACAAUGGGCGAAAGCCUGAUCCAGCCAUACCGCGUGGGUGAAGAAGGCCUUCGGGUUGUAAAGCCCUUUUGUUGGGAAAGAAAAGCAGCAGGUUAAUACACCGCUGUCCUGACGGUACCCAAAGAAUAAGCACCGGCUAACUUCGUG